rnacentral:lncRNA from 1 species
UAUGAUUUAAUUAAUAUUUUUGGAGGUUUCAAAUAGCUAUUGUAAUUGAUUAAGAUAUAUUUUAGAUUAUCUUGAAAUUAUUUAUGAUUUGAUUAGGAUUUGGUUAGGAUUUAGGAUUUUAUUAGGAUUUUAUUAGGAUUGGUCUAGGAUUUAAGGUUUGAUUAUGGUUUAGGAUUUUAUUAGAAUUUAAUAUUUUUUAGGAUUUUAUUAAGAUUUGACCUAAAGUUUUAUUUAAGUUCAUUAGG